GGUCAAACCACCUCUGCAUGUCCCCGCUGUGCCAUAUCCAUUUACAGACUGAGGAGACCAGGCUGAUUCCACCACAGACUUCAAGUUGGCAGUUAAGGAGACUAAGCUAAGAACUGGGCAAGUCCAGGCAGGUCAACUACUAAUAGAAAAAACCCAGGCUCCAGCCUUCAUGACAAGGUAAUGGAAUGUCCCAGCCACCGGGCCUGAGGCAAGGACAAUGGGUCAGCAGUUUCCAGACUUCCUCAGCUUCUUCCUCACUGUCUUUCAGUCUUUGAAAGGCUUGGAGUCAGGAAAGGCUCGAGUUGCUCAUUAUACAGCAAGAGUGAGGCAGAAGUGGACUUACUGUGCAGCAUAACUCACCCUGUGCUAGAAGAUGUUCGCAUGCAGAAAGGAACAAGGGGAGUGUUCCCAGCCAGAAGCCACCACAUAACCCAGGCUGACCUCAAACUCAGCAAUCCUGCCUCAGCUCUGGGAGUGCUGAGGCUAUCCCAAAAGUGGCUGUUCUAGAGGCGAAUGCCAGCAGCAAACCACUGAACUGAGAAUAGGACCCCCGUUGAAGGAAUCAGAGAAAGAACUGGAAGAGCUUGAAGGGGCUCGUGACCCCUUAUGAACAACAAUGCUAAGCAACCAGAGCUUCCAGGGACUAAGCCACUACCUAAAGACUAUACAUGGACUGACCCUGGACUCUGACCUCAUAGGUAGCAAUGAAUAUCCUAGUAAGAGCACCAGUGGAAGGGGAAGCCCUUGGUCCUGCUAAGACUGAACCCCCAGUGAACUAGAUUGUUGGGGGGAGGGCGGCAAUGGGGG
rnacentral:lncRNA from 1 species